GACGUAGGGCGCGAGCGUUGUCCGGAUUUAUUGGGCGUAAAGAGCUCGUAGGCGGCUUGUUGCGUCGGCUGUGAAAACCCGUGGCUUAACUGCGGGCUUGCAGCUGAUACGGGCGGGCUAGAGUUCGGUAGGGGGAGACUGGAAUUCCUGGUGUAGCGGUGAAAUGCGCAGAUAUCAGGAGGGAACACCGGUGGGCGAAAGGCGGGGU
rnacentral:rRNA from 1 species